rnacentral:lncRNA from 1 species
GAGAAAAAACAUGUUAUUGAAAACUUUUCAUUGACGUCAUACCGCUUCCCGUCAAGAAAUGAAAUCGAAACGAGAAAGUUUGGACGUACAUAGAUAGUUAAUUACUUGCAAAUUCAAUAAUUUGCAAUUUAUCAGUUGCGAAAAUUAUCGGUUGACGAAGAUGAAGGAGGGCAGUUUUCAGGGUCAUGCUUGCAAUUCGCUCCAGGCGGUGGAUAAUCUUUCAUCUCUGUCAACUCAAUAUUCGACAUCUCAUUUGCUGCGCCACCGCUCUCCUCCUUGAACAACAAUCUGUCACCUACAGACGCAGAUGAUUUGGAUUUAUACAUCGUAUUUAAUUAAAUUUAUUGAGCAAAAAAAUACUCGUGCUUACUUGCGGUAGCUGAGAGGAGAAAACAAGAGUGAAACAAUAACACCGUCAAUAUUAUCGUUGCGAAUGCUUUCUUUUCCAUGUUUGGAAUCCAAAUUUUCAGUUGUAUGUCUUUUUAAUUGAAAUGACUUGUGUCAAGUUUAUCCAAUGUUUAUAGGUAGAAACGCC